ensembl:snRNA Gm23390 U6 spliceosomal RNA
UUGCUGUCAUUGGCAGUGCAUAAACUAAAAAUGGAGCAAUACAGAAGAUUUUCAUAGCCCUGCCUGAAGAUGACAAGGACAUUUGUGAGGCAUUCUAUAUUUAU